rnacentral:rRNA from 1 species
UACAGAGGGUGCAAGCGUUGUUCGGAAUUAUUGGGCGUAAAGCGCGUGUAGGCGGCUUAGCAAGUUGGGUGUGAAAGCCCUCGGCUUAACCGAGGAAGUGCGCCCAAAACUACAAGGCUUGAGUACCGGAGAGGGUCGCGGAAUUCCCGGUGUAGAGGUGAAAUUCGUAGAUAUCGGGAGGAACACCGGUGGCGAAGGCGGCGACCUGGGUCGACACUGACGCUGAGGCGCGAAAGCUAGGGGAGCAAACAGG